rnacentral:rRNA from 1 species
CACGUGGGUAACCUGCCCAAGAGAUCGGGAUAACACCUGGAAACAGAUGCUAAUACCGGAUAACAACAGAUGAUGCCUAUCAACUGUUUAAAAGAUGGUUCUGCUAUCACUCUUGGAUGGACCUGCGGUGCAUUAGCUAGUUGGUAGGGUAACGGCCUACCAAGGCGAUGAUGCAUAGCCGAGUUUAGAGACUGAUCGGCCACAUUGGGACUGAGACACGGCCCAAACUCCUACGGGAGGCAGCAGCC